UACAGAGGUGGCAAGCGUUGUUCGGAAUUACUGGGCGUAAAGGGCGCGUAGGCGGCCUUCUAAGUCAGACGUGAAAUCCCCCGGCUUAACCUGGGAACUGCGUCUGAUACUGGAGGGCUUGAGUGCGGGAGAGGGAUGUGGAAUUCCAGGUGUAGCGGUGAAAUGCGUAGAUAUCUGGAGGAACACCGGUGGCGAAGGCGGCAUCCUGGACCGACACUGACGCUGAGGCGCGAAAGCGUGGGGAGCGAACAGG
rnacentral:rRNA from 1 species